rnacentral:rRNA from 1 species
GACGAACGCUGGCGGCGUGCUUAACACAUGCAAGUCGAACGGAAAGGCCCUGCUUUUGUGGGGUGCUCGAGUGGCGAACGGGUGAGUAACACGUGAGUAACCUGCCCUUGACUUUGGGAUAACUUCAGGAAACUGGGGCUAAUACCGGAUAGGAGCUCCUGCUGCAUGGUGGGGGAUGGAAAGUGUCGGCGGUUGGGGAUGGACUCGCGGCUUAUCAGCUUGUUGGUGGGGUAGUGGCUUACCAAGGCUUUGACGGGUAGCCGGCCUGAGAGGGUGACCGGCGACAUUGGGACUGAGAGACGGCCCAGACUCCUACGGGAGGCAGCAGGGGGGAACAUGGCGCAGUGGCCCGACGCCUGAGACAGCAACGCCGCGUGCGGGAUGACGGGUUUCGGGUUGUAAACCGCUUUCGCCGGUGACGAAGCGUGAGUGACGGUAAUGGGUAAAGAAGCACCGGCUAACUACGUG